rnacentral:rRNA from 1 species
UACGGAGGAUCCGAGCGUUAUCCGGAUUUAUUGGGUUUAAAGGGUGCGUAGGCGGCCUAUUAAGUCAGGGGUGAAAGACGGUAGCUUAACUAUCGCAGUGCCUUUGAUACUGAUAGGCUUGAAUAUACUUGAGGUAGGCGGAAUGUGACAAGUAGCGGUGAAAUGCAUAGAUAUGCCACAGAACACCAAUUGCGAAGGCAGCUUACUAAAGUAUGAUUGACGCUGAGGCACGAAAGCGUGGGGAUCAAACAGG